AGAUUUUGGACCGCGGGGCCGGGUAUCGAGGGAGGCAAAGCUGGGGUCCCAGUGGUGUGGCUGCGGUCUGGGGAGCGCUUUCAGUCUCAGAUUUAGUUGGCCUCACUGUUAACCUAUUUAGAGCUUUUUUUUUCUUAUGUCAUCGUUCAUAAGUUUUGUAUUUUAAAUAUUGUUGGUUUCUGCCCAGCCAAAGGCCUAUUUUCAGUCGUCUAGUUUGAGGAGUGGUGUGAGAAGACUCCAGAGGCCAAGGACAGUUUUUGUUUGGGAAUUGGAAGAGAUGGGGGAAAAAAAUCUUUGAAAUGGAAAUGAAUGUCCACAAAAUUUAACAUAACUAUUUCCUUAAUUAUUGCAUUAAGUAUUUGUAAACAUUAAUAUUUGAAAACGAUGUGUAGGUUAGAUUUUCACACUUAAUUAAAAUCUCCUAGUAGGCAUAAUUCCUUCAUUAAUUCAACAAAUAUGUAUUGAGUCCAUAUUAUGUGCCACGCAUUCAUCUAGUCACUUGGGAUCUAUCUGAACACAAUGAAAACAACUGCAAAGUUGGCAUAGGCAAUUAUAAAUAUG
rnacentral:lncRNA from 1 species